GGUCAGACCAUAGAAGACAGCGCGCUAGCGUAUCUAGUCUUCUAUAUAUAUCUAUGGUCCGCACGUCUGGCAGCAUCUGUGGCUGCUGUUGACUUUGUUUUUGGAGUAAAACACGGUGGAAGCUGAAUUAGUGAGGAUGACUCCUGCUCCUGUCAUCUCUAAGCUCCUCACACAUCUUUACCUGCACAUGAGGAAAAUCACUCCUGUAGAAUGCAGAUGUUCAUAGGGAGAUGAUGCCACAUCUGGUCCAGCUGAUGGAAGGUCUUGAAGUUCUCUGACUGGCCUCGACUGAAGAUGGUCGUCUCACUGGAUUUAAGGUUCAGAUGCUCAGUAACAAACUCCACCAAUGAGCCAACAGGGAGGCUUUAGGUUUAUUAAAUGUUGCUAUGAAGGUAUCGCUGUUUUUCUUUGUGAAUGCAAUGUGCUGCAACUGAAACUUGAAUUAGAACUUAGAAGUAAAUCCUUCCAUCUGAAAGGAUUUAGUUGCAUUAAUAACCUCAUAACAUUCUAAUUUUUAUUCCAGUCUUGGUUGGAAAUAGAAUCUCUGUAUUGAUUCAGGUAAAAACUGAACUUCACAGCAUGUUGGAGCAAAACAACCAGAUGAAAACUGUGAUGAUGUUGGAUUGUCAGACCGUAAUGUUGCAGCUCAAAGCAGCUUUUCUAUCUCAGUUCAUUCUGACAUUCAGCUAUGAAUCAACACAGCAGAUGGUGAUCCAUGCUGUGGAAGCCUCACAUCUCCUGAUUUAAUGGAGCUGCUUUGCACUUUUUACACUGUUUAUUCACCAACACUUUAUUUAAUAAAAGUCCCAUCUAGUUUUUAUGAGGAAUGUGAUGUUUUGAUUUCUCUGUGAAUAACUGCAGUCUAAUGCAACAGCUGGAAUUGUAACAUCUGUCCUGAUAUUGAUCAUGAAGUAUUGAUCAGAAUACUUAUGGUCAGAAGUCAUCCCUGAAGUUUUACAUUAAAAUCUUUACUUGUGUUGUGAACUUUGGUAAGAAGCAGAAACUUUAGCGUUGCCAUGGAUACAUGAGUGUUAAAUUCUGUCCAUGUUUCCAUUGUGGGAAAUUCAUUCCAGCAGUCUGAGAUAUUACGAAUAAAUAAAUGUGCAUAAUGUGGAAAUGAAGAGAUUUUAUUUUUAUUUAUUCCUACAGCUGCUCCAGGGAAUGUUCUAGAAUUUGGAGGAAUUUAGUCUCACAAUCACAGACAAUAAAUAUUAUCUGAAAGUCGGGUUAUUGUUGUUUAUCAGCACAAUACAAAAAGAUUAAUGUUAGAAAUAUUCCAGUUAAGACUCUAGAAUAUCAUGAUUUAUGUAAAUUUACCUCAAUAAUAUGAAUGUUCAGGUUAAGAUUGUGCAGUGAUAUUAUGUAAGUUUAGCUGAUUAAAGUUUAUGACUCUGCACUAAAAUAUUAUUUAAAUUUACAUCAUUAUAAUAUUUAGGGUCAGACCCUACAGUAUUGAGAUUAAGAAAUCAAAUAUUCUAUAAAUUGUAAAUGCACUGAACUCAUUUGGAUAUAUUUAAGUGAGACUCUACAAUAUUAUUUGACACAAAUCUAUCUAAAUCAAAAUUUUAGUCAUUUUUACUCCAAACAUUUACUGGACUGAUUUAAUUAUUAAAAUCACUCCUUUCUAAUCCUCUGCUGUACUUUCAAACCCGAGACCUUAAAUAGAAACACACAAGUAUCUGAUUGAAGGAACUUCUGCAGAGUCCUGGUUCCAGAACAUGAUGAUAGAAUUAUAGACAAACUUUACCAAAAGCUGCCUGAGAGUUUACAGGUUUUUAUGUUGGAUUUCUUCAGUAAUUUAAUGAGAGUUAUCAGCAAAAAUCAAGUGUUCAGUUGAUGAACUUCAUUUCCUAAAACAUCCAGAAUUGGAGCUCAUAUCUUUGGCAGCUGUAAAAUUUCUAUUCCUUCAAAGUUCACAACACAAUGAAUGAAUUCCUAAAACACUCUCAAUGCUGGAGAGCGUUUGUGAUGCUGAAGCAGUGACCAGUUUUUCUGUUUAUUCUCUGGAGAUGCACAAUGAGGGACGUCUGCAGAGACUGAGAAAGAGUCUCACCACAUCCUGACAUGAGGAAAAAGACUUUAUUGAAGACUACAAUGAGAAAAACUAUCAGACAGCAGACGGCUGCAUUCAAGAGAGGAAGACCAUCAAACAUCCACGUCAGCUGAUGGAGGUCCAAGAGUCUCACCAAACAAACAACCUACAGAGUGAAGACCUCGAAUCUGAUUGGACGGCCUCCUAUUCAGCCACGUGUGAACAAAUACCUUGAAGUUGAUUUGUUUUCUAAAAUAAAUCUAGUUUGAGUCCUAAUCUAUGUCUGUGUGUUUGCUUCUUUACACCGCUGUUAACAGUUUAGGCUGUUAGAUUGUUCCAGAUAAGACGAGUACAAGAUUCUUCAGAGCCGUUCUACCAUGAGCCUGACAGGAAGAACUCCAACAGCUACUGAAUGUUCCUGUGGUUCCCUCAAGGCUACAGGAGGAGUCCUACGAGGACGAGCCGGUCCACCUGAUGGCGGCCAGUCGCUGCGGUUCAAAGCCAACACCGACUACGUGGACUUCUACUGGACCACACGGAGGCCUUCAAACCGGACCAACAAGUUCAG
ensembl:lncRNA